UGAGUGGGUUGGGUGAUCGCUCUGGAUUGCGAAAGCAAUGCAGGGAGGAAAGUCCGAGCAGGGCAGGGCACGGUGGUGGCUAACGGCCACCCGGGGAAACCCGCGGGAAAGUGCAGCAGAAAACACACAGCCGAUGACCUUCGUGGAACAGGCAAUGGUGAAAUGGUGCGGCAAGAGCGCACCGCGAUGCAGGCGACUGCAUCGGCAUUGAAAACCCCACCGCCUGCAAGACCAAGUAUGCUGGAAAUCCGGCCCGGAUAAGAGCAAUAGAAUUGCUCAUCCAGCGGGUAGGUUGCGUCCCGUUUACGGGAGAGUCGUCCGGCAACGGCCGACCAAGAUAAAUGAUCGCCAUUUACAGAACUCGGCUUACAGACCCACUCUUUUU
rnacentral:RNase_P_RNA from 1 species